AGAGACAGCAGCCGCCGCGGGAAUACGUAGGGUGCAAGCGUUAAUCGGAAUUACUGGGCGUAAAGCGUGCGCAGGCGGUUAUAUAAGACAGAUGUGAAAUCCCCGGGCUCAACCUGGGAACUGCAUUUGUGACUGUAUAGCUAGAGUACGGCAGAGGGGGUUGGAAUUCCGCGUGUAGCAGUGAAAUGCGUAGAUAUGCGGAGGAACACCGAUGGCGAAGGCAAUCCCCUGGGCCUGUACUGACGCUCAUGCACGAAAGCGUGGGGAGCAAACAGGAUUAGAUACCCCUGUAGUCCCUGUCUCUUAUAC
rnacentral:rRNA from 1 species